rnacentral:rRNA from 1 species
UACAGAGGUCUCAAGCGUUGUUCGGAUUCAUUGGGCGUAAAGGGUGCGUAGGUGGCGGGGCAAGUCAGGUGUGAAAUCUCGGGGCUCAACCCCGAAACUGCACUUGAUACUGCCUUGCUCGAGUACUGGAGAGGAGACUGGAAUUUACGGUGUAGCAGUGAAAUGCGUAGAUAUCGUAAGGAAGACCAGUGGCGAAGGCGGCAUCCUGGACCAAUUCUGACACUGAGGAGCGAAAGCCAGGGGAGCAAACGGG